rnacentral:rRNA from 1 species
UACGAAGGGGGCUAGCGUUGCUCGGAAUUACUGGGCGUAAAGCGCACGUAGGCGGAUAUUUAAGUGAGGGGUGAAAUCCCGGGGCUCAACCCUGGAACUGCCUCUCAUACUGGGUAUCUCGAGUUCGAGAGAGGUGAGUGGAAUUGCGAGUGUAGAGGUGAAAUUCGUAGAUAUUCGCAGGAACACCAGUGGCGAAGGCGGCUCACUGGCUCGAUACUGACGCUGAGGUGCGAAAGCGUGGGGAGCAAACAGG